rnacentral:rRNA from 1 species
UGAGGAAUAUUGGUCAAUGGACGAGAGUCUGAACCAGCCAAGUAGCGUGCAGGAAGACGGCCCUAUGGGUUGUAAACUGCUUUUAUAAGGGAAUAAAGUGAGUCUCGUGAGACUUUUUGCAUGUACCUUAUGAAUAAGGACCGGCUAAUUCCGUGCCAGCAGCCGCGGUAAUACGGAAGGUCCGGGCGUUAUCCGGAUUUAUUGGGUUUAAAGGGAGCGUAGGCCGGAGAUUAAGCGUGUUGUGAAAUGUAGACGCUCAACGUCUGCACUGCAGCGCGAACUGGUUUCCUUGAGUACGCACAAAGUGGGCGGAAUUCGUGGUGUAGCGGUGAAAUGCUUAGAUAUCACGAAGAACUCCGAUUGCGAAGGCAGCUCACUGGAGCGCAACUGACGCUGAAGCUCGAAAGUGCGGGUAUCGUUUCAG